CAGAUGCUAAUACCGGAUACAAACAGAUGAUGCCUAUCAACUGUUUUAAAAAGUAUGGUUCUUGCUAUCACUCUUGGGAUGGGACCUGCGGUGCAUUAGCUAGUUGGUAGGGUAACGGCCGUACCAAGGCGAUGAUGCAUAGCCGAGUUGAGAGACUGAUCGGCCACAUUGGGACUGAGACACGGCCCAAACUCCUACGGGAGGCAGCAGUAGGGAAUCUUCCACAAUGGACGCAAGUCUGAUGGAGCAACGCCGCGUGAGUGAAGAAGGGUUUCGGCUCGUAAAGCUCUGUUGUUGGUGAAGAAGGACAGGGGUAGUAACUGACCUUUGUUUGACGGUAAUCAAUUAGAAAGUCACGGCUAACUACGUGCCAGCAGCCGCGGUAAU
rnacentral:rRNA from 1 species